GACGAACGCUGGCGGCGUGCUUAACACAUGCAAGUCGAACGGAAAGGCCCUGCUUUUGUGGGGUGCUCGAGUGGCGAACGGGUGAGUAACACGUGAGUAACCUGCCCUUGACUUUGGGAUAACUUCAGGAAACUGGGGCUAAUACCGGAUAGGAGCUCCUGCUGCAUGGUGGGGGUUGGAAAGUUUCGGCGGUUGGGGAUGGACUCGCGGCUUAUCAGCUUGUUGGUGGGGUAGUGGCUUACCAAGGCUUUGACGGGUAGCCGGCCUGAGAGGGUGACCGGCCACAUUGGGACUGGGGUACGGCCCGGACUGCUACGGGAGGCAGCAGUGGGAAUAUUGCACAAUGGGCGGAAGCCUGAUGCAGCAACGCCGCGUGCGGGAUGACGGCCUUCGGGUUGUAAACCGCUUUCGCCUGUGACGAAGCGUGAGUGACGGUAAUGGGUAAAGAAGCACCGGCUAACUACGUG
rnacentral:rRNA from 1 species